CUCUAUGGGCAUGCCACCCUGAGCGUGCCCAAUCCCAUCUGAUCUGGAAAGUUAAGCAGGGUCGGGCCUGGUUGGGAGACCACCUAGGAAGACCAGGUACUGUAGGUG
rnacentral:rRNA from 1 species